AAUAGCAAUAGCUGACUGCAUUAUCUUAAAUUUUAAAGGGUGGUCCCUUACCUUAUACCUUAUUUAAAAACGUGAGACACUUUUAAAUAAGUAGGGUCCCUUCCUUCCUUAUUUAAUACAAAAAUGAGACCUUAUCAUUGCAAUGUAGUAACUACUUGGUAGUUUAAAUUUCUGGGUAGAAUUAUGAUGAUGACAUUAUCUAUCUAUAAGUCUUGACCAAAUUACGUGCCAGCAGUCGCGGUAAUACGUAGAAGACAAGUGUUAUUCAUCUUUAUUAGGUUUAAAGAGUACCAAGACGGUUAAUAAAGCCUAAAAUACGUGAACACAGGGGGACACAUUAACUAGAGUUAUAUGAAAGGAAGCACUAAGGUACUGUUGAGUGUAGAGAUAAAAUUCUAUCAUACCAGAUGAAAGGCACAGAUUUAUGCGAAGGCAUCUUCUUAUGUAAUAACUGACGUUGUAGGACGAAGGCUUUUGAAGUGAAGAGGAUUAGAUACCCUUGUAAUCUAGGCAGAAAAUGAUGAAUGUCAUAGGUCUAAUAAAAAUAAAUACAGCAGUAUCUAUUAUAUUAUUGGGUCUAUAAAUGAAAGUGUAAGCAUUCCACCUCAAGAGUAAUUUGGCAACAUUGGAACUGAAAUCAUUAGACCGUUUCUGAAACCAGUAGUGAAGUAUGUUGUUUAAUUAGAUGAUACGCAAAAAACCUUACCACAAUUUGAAUAUAUAUCUUUAAAGAUAUUUACAAGCGUUGCACGGCUGUCUUCAGUUAAUGUCGUGAGAUUUUGGUUAGUUCCAUAAAAUUAACGUAAACCCUCGUUUUAUUUUUAAAUAAAAUUUAGAUCUGUUUC
rnacentral:rRNA from 1 species